GGGGCGGGGAAGAGGAAAGGCGGGCAGGAGAGUGGAGAGGAGGCCGGCGAACGUGGACGGGUGGGGGAGAAGAAGCAAAGAGGAGUAACCAGCCCGGAUAAAGCUGUACUUUAAAUCUGCUGACUAGAGAAAUGAAAUAGCAUUAGAGACUGAUUUCCACAAAAUCUUUCAUAAAAGAUGAAGACAUUCUAUGUGAUCUUCUCUUCUUUUGGAAUCAUGCCACCAAGAUUUGAUCCUAUGAGUAAGAGUGCUCAAGAAGACCUGGGCCGCUGAAUGGCUUCCUUGUUGGAACAUUGACAACAGUUUCCUUUCAUGGACCCCUCGAAGCUUCUCCAAAUGUCUAGCAGCAACUCCUAUUAUACUUCAUGCUGUAGCAGUGCUGUUUGUACUUUUUAGAAUCUUUUAAAGAAAUGUUUGCCUUCUCCAACUAAAAUCAAGAAGAUAUUCUCUAGGAACUCCCCUGGUGGUCCAGUGACCCUGCAUUCCCAGUGCAGGGGGCCUGGGUUCCAUCCCUGGCCAGGGAACUAGAUCCCACAUGCCACAACUAAAGAUCCUGCAUGAGGCAACGAAGAUCUCCUGUGCCACAACUAAGACCUGACACAGCCAAAUAAAUA